rnacentral:rRNA from 1 species
GACGAACGCUGGCGGCGUGCUUAACACAUGCCAGUCGAACGGUAAGGCUCCAGCUUGCUGGGGUACACGAGUGGCGAACGGGUGAGUAACACGUGGGUGACCUGCCCUGCACUUCGGGAUGAGCCUGGGAAACUGGGUCUAAUACCGGAUAGGACCAUGGUGUGGAUACUGUGGUGGAAAGUUUUUUCGGUGUGGGAUGGGCCCGCGGCCUAUCAGCUUGUUGGUGGGGUAAUGGCCUACCAAGGCGGCGACGGGUAGCCGGCCUGAGAGGGUGGACGGCCACAUUGGGACUGAGACACGGCCCAGACUCCUACGGGAGGCAGCAGUGGGGAAUAUUGCACAAUGGGCGGAAGCCUGAUGCAGCGACGCCGCGUGGGGGAUGACGGCCUUCGGGUUGUAAACUCCUUUCACCAUCGACGAAGGGUUUCUGACGGUAGAUGGAGAAGAAGCACCGGCUAACUACGUG